rnacentral:pre_miRNA from 1 species
CACCUCCGUAGGCUGGCCAGCCCCCAGGCUGGGCUGGGCGAGUAUCUCUUCGAAAGGCUCACCUUCAAGUACGACUAGGAGC